rnacentral:rRNA from 1 species
UACGUAGGUGGCAAGCGUUGUCCGGAUUUACUGGGCGUAAAGAGCGCGCAGGCGGUCGUUCAAGUCGCGUGUGAAAGCCCCCGGCUCAACUGGGGAGGGUCACGCGAUACUGAUCGACUGGAAGGCAGGAGAGGGUAGUGGAAUUCCCGGUGUAGUGGUGAAAUGCGUAGAUAUCUGGAGGAAUACCGGUGGCGAAGGCGGCAUCCUGGACCAUUACUGACGCUGAGGCGCGAAAGCUAGGGGAGCAAACGGG